AUUGAACGCUGGCGGCAUGCCUUACACAUGCAAGUCGAACGGCAGCACGGGAGCAAUCCUGGUGGCGAGUGGCGAACGGGUGAGUAAUAUAUCGGAACGUGCCCGGUCGUGGGGAUAACGUAGCGAAAGCUACGCUAAUACCGCAUACGAUCUACGGAUGAAAGCGGGGGAUCGCAAGACCUCGCGCGAUUGGAGCGGCCGAUAUCAGAUUAGGUAGUUGGUGAGGUAAAGGCUCACCAAGACCGACGAUCUGUAGCUGGUCUGAGAGGACGACCAGCCACACUGGACUGAGACACGGCCCAGACUCCUAC
rnacentral:rRNA from 1 species